AAUAAUAGUUAUUUGUUUCACAAGGGGGCAAAGUUGUUGUUUAACCGCUCGUGCUAAUAUUGACACCCGAGCAAGCGAAAGAUCCCAACAUUGAACCACGAGCGUAGCGAGUGGUUCGAAAAUUGGAAUCUUGAGCGUUGCGAGGGUUUCAAGGCACGAGGGUUAAUAAAACUGCCUCCGAGUGAAACAGAAUUUUUCACCACACCAACACGAGGAAAAUACUAACUAUGAAAUACCAAAUAA